GAAUUGUGCUGUUUGAUAAUUAAAAUCAAAUUCUCAGAAAGAAGGCCUGCAAGAUUUAAGCAACAGUCUCUACAGGGCUUGUGUUGACAUCACAAAUCUUGGAGUGACACGGGAUUGAGCCCUAAAACCACUUUGUAAGAGGAGUGCUGAACAUAAUGGACUGCAGUACUUCAAGCUGUGCUUUGAGCUACAUGGGAAUCAUCUUCUUCAUGGCAUACCUUUAAAUCAGACAGAACUAGACAAUAAUGUUCCUGGGAAAAAAAAGAAAAGAACAACAGUAAUUUAAUGGGGGAAAAGCUACUUUGCUUAGGAAAAUCCUGCUCCUGCUUCAAUUCACAGUGAAUUACUGUGGUCACAGAAGUGUUCUGCACACCACUUUGGAGCACAUUUUAUGAAGAUAUACAUUCAAGUAUCAGUGUUCAUCAGCCUGACAUGUGGUGCUUGUGUCCUGCACCCCAGCUACUUUGCACUUUGCUCCUUGAGAACAGUGACUGAGUCAAGAUCUCCUCCACGCAGUGUUUGUGAAGAGUUUGUAAAGAAGCCACAUCUGUGGGACAAGAAGGACUGCCUGUCUUGCAGUGAGCAUCCACAACCCAACAUCCAGGCUUCAGAUGAAUACAGCAGUGAGGACAACUCAAAGCAUGCUUGCUGAGCUACAGUUCUUCAAGCAGGAAAUUGGGUUCAACCAAGGGUUCCCACCCACUUUCCUGGUGGGAAUUCCAUAACCUCUGGGGCCAGAUUUUGUUCACAUAUCAGCUCUGCAUGUGAUAAUCCUCCCAACUAAGGCAUUUCACCUUUCACUUGUUUUACAUCCCCCACCUCAUGUGGUAGCUCACUGUGGGGCUGAGGAUGCUACAAAGGAAGGAUGCUACAAAAAUGACCACUUAAUA
rnacentral:lncRNA from 1 species